GCGGCCGUGGUGAAAUUGGUAUACACGCGAGCUUCAGGUGCUCGUGGGCGCAAGCCCGUGGAGGUUCGAGUCCUCUCGGCCGCA
rnacentral:tRNA from 2 species